CCUCCCCCCCUCGCCAAAAAAAUUUCGGUCAGUGUGCCAUUUUAGGGGUCAAAAAUGUUUUCCCGACAUGUCAUCGUUAAACUCGUUAAAAAUAAAACAGCAUAAAUUUAAUUGAAUUUCAAGCGAAUCCUUCGUAGUGUUGUGGUUUAGGCGUGCGCCCGUAUUGCGUGCGCCAAAUUCUGGGAUCGAUUCCUGCUCGCGCCACUAUUUUAUUAUUUUUUUU